UGGAAUGCGGCUGGUGGGGGAUGUACUCGAGUCAGCCAUAUGGAUUGACAUCUCCCUAUCUGUAAAACUGACUGUUCAUUACGAGUCAUGGAGCUUGACAGAGACAAAUCAGAAGAAGGUGGAAUGGAGGAACCUGCAUCCUGAUCAAGAGUAGCUGUGGGCCCUGACAUACUCUCUAAUAUUUGGACAACCGCAGAAGGAAUGUCCUGGUCGCACUCCUGGAAUUUA